rnacentral:rRNA from 1 species
AUUGAUGUGUACCUUACUAAUGCUCGCAGUAGCACCUGGGUAUUUGAUACUGGUUCUGUUGCUAACAUUUGCAACUCGAAACAGGGGCUACGGAUCAAGCGAAGAUUGGCUAAGGACGAGGUGACGAUGCGCGUGGGAAAUGGUUCCAAAGUCGAUGUGAUCGCGGUCGGCACGCUACCUCUACAUCUAUCUUCGGGAUUAGUAUUAGACCUAAAUAAUUGUUAUUUGGUGCCAGCGUUGAGCAUGAACAUUAUAUGUCAAUCUUGUUUGAUGCGAGAUGGUUAUUCAUUUAAAUCAGAGAAU